UACGAAGGGGGCGAGCGUUGUUCGGAUUUACUGGGCGUAAAGGGCGCGUAGGCGGCCCUCCUAGUCGCGUGUGAAAGCCCCGGGCUCAACCUGGGAAUUGCGCGCGAAACGGGGGGGCUUGAGUUCGGGAGAGGAGCGUGGAAUUCCCAGUGUAGAGGUGAAAUGCGUAGAUAUUGGGAGGAACACCAGUGGCGAAGGCGGCUCACUGGACCGGUUCUGACGCUGAUGCGCGAAAGCGUGGGGAGCAAACGGG
rnacentral:rRNA from 1 species